GGGCCUAUAGCUCAGUGGUAGAGCAUCCGGCUCAUAACCGGAUGGUCCCUGGUUCGAACCCAGGUGGGCCCACCA
rnacentral:tRNA from 1 species